AUCCCCGGCGGCUCCGCCCCCGCGCGGACCCCUCCCCUCCUCGCCGCACCGCCCGGCAAACCCCAGCGCUCCGCCUGGGCGGACCAAUCGCAGCCCCCGGCAACGCACCAGCCGCGACCCCGGCCCCUUCGCCCGCGCCGGCGCCCCAGCCCCCCCACCUUCGCGCGCGGGAGGAAGAUGCUCGCGAAGGGCGCCUGAGGGGACUGGAGGCCGGGGCCGGGGCCUGGGGAUGAAACCUGGGCAGCUCUUAGCCCGCGACCGACACCCCCAGCCCUUCCCCCCACGGUACCUCGCCCGGACUCUGGCCCCGGGCCGGGCUUGGAGACCUCCAACCACGAGAACGAUACUCAAAGCACUACGCAAAUGGAGGGUGAACACAGAAAAGCGCAGGUGUGAUUCCUGAGAUACCCACCCCCCCUCCACCAGGCAGCCCCGCAGGAGGCUGGCAGCCCCAGGACAGACCCAGAGCGCUCCAGGUGGGCCCGGCUCGGCCUCCGCCCCGUGCUGUCCCCAAUGCGGGAGCGGGGCCGGCUUCAAGGGCAGUCGCGCGCACCCACCC
rnacentral:lncRNA from 1 species